rnacentral:lncRNA from 1 species
ACCCUGGGCUGCCGAAGCAGAGCGUGAGAACUUAACCAUUCGACCACGGGGCCAGGCCCUGGGUCAGUGAAUUCUUAAUCUGUAAAUGGUCCUGGAUGCCAUCAAAGCCAAGGCUUUUAUCUGAGAUAAGGGUACAGAAGCACAGAAUGGACUGGCCUUAUCAUGGCGGAGCCUGCGUGGGAAUCCUUUCCCACUCCCCUCCCAGCCCGGAGCUUCUUCCACCGCCCAAUGAAGGGCCAGCCCUGAGUCCUUGUUUGGCAUCAAAUGAGCGAACUCUGAGUGCAGAUUCAGCAAGUCCUUUGUGGCUUCAGCUGUCAAUGACCUGGAGCCAUGCUGAGAGGAGGAACAAGGAUUCUACCACUCUCCACAGCAGCGCAGGUUGGAGAGGAAGCUAUGGAAAGCCGCUCUUUUCCCUGUGGGGGCGCAGUGAGCUUGAUGUGAUUUCACUGUGUACAGACAGCUCCUUUCAAGAAUCUGAAAACUGAAGGAAGAACUGGAGUCAGGAAAUAUGGCUGUGGACUUCCCACAGGCGGGCAGAGAGGACACUGUGAAACCUUGGGGAUUGACAACCCCAAUUUCGUCUUUUCCUUCACAUGAGUCUGGCCCCGUGCCCUGGACCUAGCCAGCAGCCCACAGCUGCUGCAAAUUGAUUUAUCCCCUGAUGAUAGUCGGAGCUGCUGCCUGUAACAUCAGAGAGACACUGCUUUGCAGGAUGUUUUUUAAAGACGAUAAAAUUUCCUUCGCUCCUUUCUGUUCUUUGUGCCAUCUGGCAUUUUGGGGUGCAAAGUAUGAUUAACAGCUAUUACUUUUUCAAGUCAGGAUUGUUUUGAGAUGUAUGUAUUUGGGAGAGCAGUGGGGAUGCCAUGUCGCUUGAUAACCAUCGGACACCCCAAGACACCUGCCAUCCUGGACGGCUAGGCUCAUGGCUUUCUGUUGAAAAGGCCUAUUGGAAUUCCUUUUGUUACUAUUCCUUGCCCCUUAGGACAAGUUGAACCAGAAGUGGCGAAAUCUCCCUAUUCUAACUGAUUUCCUUCCCUGCCCUCUUAGGAGACUGGGCAGCAGGCCUUGGAGCUGAGCCAAGACAUGGAAAGGCCUCGAGCAGGGAGGUGACCAUGGGAGGUCACCACAUGCUGCUGAGCCCAGGACGCGGCCUUCCA